CAGCCGCCGCGGUAAUACGUAGGGUGCAAGCGUUAUCCGGAAUUAUUGGGCGUAAAGAGCUCGUAGGCGGUUUGUCGCGUCUGCUGUGAAAACUGGAGGCUCAACCUCCAGCCUGCAGUGGGUACGGGCAGACUAGAGUGCGGUAGGGGAGAUUGGAAUUCCUGGUGUAGCGGUGGAAUGCGCAGAUAUCAGGAGGAACACCGAUGGCGAAGGCAGAUCUCUGGGCCGUAACUGACGCUGAGGAGCGAAAGCGUGGGGAGCGAACAGGAUUAGAUACCCCCGUAGUCCCUGUCUCUUAUAC
rnacentral:rRNA from 1 species